GCACGGGGGAGCUUGCUCCCUGGGUGACGAGCGGCGGACGGGUGAGUAAUGUCUGGGAAACUGCCUGAUGGAGGGGGAUAACUACUGGAAACGGUAGCUAAUACCGCAUAACGUCGCAAGACCAAAGAGGGGGACCUUCGGGCCUCUUGCCAUCAGAUGUGCCCAGAUGGGAUUAGCUAGUAGGUGGGGUAAUGGCUCACCUAGGCGACGAUCCCUAGCUGGUCUGAGAGGAUGACCAGCCACACUGGAACUGAGACACGGUCCAGACUCCUACGGGAGGCAGCAGUGGGGAAUAUUGCACAAUGGGCGCAAGCCUGAUGCAGCCAUGCCGCGUGUGUGAAGAAGGCCUUCGGGUUGUAAAGCACUUUCAGCGAGGAGGAAGGUGGUGAGCUUAAUACGCUCAUCAAUUGACGUUACUCGCAGAAGAAGC
rnacentral:rRNA from 1 species